UACGUAGGGUGCGAGCGUUGUCCGGAAUUAUUGGGCGUAAAGAGCUUGUAGGCGGUUUGUCGCGUCUGCUGUGAAAAUCCGGGGCUCAACCCCGGACUUGCAGUGGGUACGGGCAGGCUAGAGUGUGGUAGGGGAGACUGGAAUUCCUGGUGUAGCGGUGGAAUGCGCAGAUAUCAGGAGGAACACCGGUGGCGAAGGCGGGUCUCUGGGCAACAACUGACGCUGAGGAGCGAAAGCGUGGGGAGCGAACAGG
rnacentral:rRNA from 1 species